rnacentral:rRNA from 1 species
UACGGAGGGUGCAAGCGUUAUCCGGAUUUACUGGGUUUAAAGGGUGCGUAGGCGGGCUUUUAAGUCAGUGGUGAAAACUCCGAGCUUAACUCGGAAACUGCCAUUGAUACUAUUUGUCUUGAAUAUCGUGGAGGUCAGCGGAAUAUGUCAUGUAGCGGUGAAAUGCUUAGAUAUGACAUAGAACACCAAUUGCGAAGGCAGCUGGCUACACGAAUAUUGACACUGAUGCACGAAAGCGUGGGGAUCAAACAGG